AGUCUCGCACCCUUUUUUACACUCUUUCCUCAGUCGUAGGACUAGUUUUUCACACUUCGCCAAUUCACUUCUCUCAUUCAUUCAUUCCUUUUUUACGUCCCAUCAUUUUACUUCUUCUGCCCCCCUUCUCUGCCCCCUUUCUUCCCCGAAAACGCUCUCCUUCUCACAUGUCAAAAACAAAGUACGAAUUUUCUGUUUAUCUAAGAAAAGAAAGACCCCUCCAAACUCCAUCAGCCUAAGCUCUGAAUACAGAAAAUUUCCAUUCCUCACGCAAGAAAAACAAGUACUACUAAUAUACUUGACGCACGGAAUAGGAAGGAAACCAAGAAACAUUCACCAUCACCACCGCUGCCACCACUCUACAUUAUUGUGUGUGCAAAACACAAACAAAUACUACUCGCUUCUGUUACAUCUUCUGCGGAUAGAAAAAGAAAGAAGGGCUAUAUGCAUCAUCCACACAUGAUCCUUCUAUCAAAUUCAAGAAGAGUUCAAAACCCUACCCACAUCAUCAUCCUGCAAUCUUAAGGUGGCCUUCGCCACAGAUCAUCAUUUCUUAGAUUCUGGGUCUUUUUGGUGGAUGGAUUCAGCCUCUGGAGGACCGGACUUGAGCGGGGGAGGAGAGGCCGGGCCAUCAUCAGCCAGCGGGAGUGGUAGCGCCGAAGGUGUAGGCGGGUCAACGGCUGCGCCACCCAGUCGUUACGAGUCGCAAAAGCGGCGAGAUUGGAACACUUUCCUGCAGUACCUCAGGAACCACAAGCCGCCGCUGACACUAGCUCGGUGUAGCGGAGCGCACGUGAUCGAGUUCUUGAAGUACUUGGAUCAGUUCGGAAAAACUAAGGUGCACGUGGCCGGGUGCCCUUAUUUCGGGCACCCUAAUCCACCAGCCCCAUGCCAGUGCCCGCUCAAGCAAGCUUGGGGCAGUCUUGACGCCCUCAUAGGACGCCUUAGAGCUGCCUACGAAGAAAACGGUGGAAGACCCGAAUCCAACCCUUUUGGUGCUAGAGCUGUUAGGAUUUAUCUCAGGGAAGUAAGGGAAAGCCAGGCCAAGGCUAGAGGGAUACCUUACGAGAAGAAGAAACGAAAAAGGCCGGCUGCUACGGCCGUGCCCGCUGUGUCGGUGGCUGCGAGUGAUGUUGGAGCUAGUAGUAGUGGCGGUGGGGAUGUAGGAGGAGGAGGAGGAGGUGAUGGUGGUAGUGGUGGCGGGCCUGGAGGUACUCCUACUACUGUGGUUGUUACCACGACAACAGUAUAGCAAAUUUUAUUACUACCAGCAGUACGUCAUUUCCAAUUUUUUUUUUUUAAUAUAAAAAUUUCCCCCAUUUUCUAGACUAAUUGUGUGCCUUCUAAUUGCGACUAUGAGGCUAUCUCGAAUUUCUUAUUGCACUAAAACUGCAAGAAGGAACGUCGGUCGGUGGAAAUUAUUUUGAUCAAUUGUGCUUUUAAGUUAAAAUUUUAGAACGAGGCAGCUGAAGUACGCAUGCAUUAUUUUGCCCAAAAAAAACAAAACAUAAAGGCGCAUAUAGAUAUAUUAAUUAAAGUGUGUUUCAUUCUCUUGCUGCCAACACUUCGUUUCCGGCUUUCUCCUCUUGCAUUACGUGUGUCAUGCUGAUUUUCCCUAUUUAGUUGUUUCUUUUUGUUUUGGGUACAUAGAUAGCCCUUUUGUUUUUUCAUGGCAACCAAGACAAUAUCCGGAAGGAGCUAGGAUACAGACCAGUGGUACUUCUCCAUCCUUUUUCUUCUAUUGUCUAGUGUAUAACUAACAAACUAUAUGGCAUUCUUCAUACUGGUCGAUGUCCUGCGGUGAGUGGGGUUGGGCUUCUCUCAUCAUUGAGGUAUGUGCAAUUGUUCAAAUAUGCAUGUCUACAAAUCAAUAAUAAUAAUGUCUGUUCUAUUUUUUGCCAUUUCACAACAUUACACAUUCUCGUAGGAGUCCAUGCCAAGAGCAAAUGCUGAUAAGCCAAGGGCAUAGGCUAUCAAGUAACGAGUAAUUUAUUACUAUCAUUUUUUCGCCCUUUAGGAAAACUCCGCAUGAUUUUUAACACCAUCUAUAAAAUUGACAGAAAAUGGUACCUACUCAACACAUUCCUGAUCCCAAGAUACUCCUGGCAGAAGUCUUAGAGAAUUGAACCUGCUAAAGUGGCCUUGGAAUUUGAUUUUAUUCUGGGAAUGUAGGCACUAGUAGGUACUACUAGAACACUUAUGAUUCAUUCUGUUUUUCUCUCUGUCCAUGUUAAAGAGUGGUGUUUUGUAUCCCUCUUCCUCUUAGUUGGUCAGGGGUCUGCCCCAAUGUUUGUGCUUCGCUACAUAAAGAAGAUUAGUUUCAGGGUUUUCAAAUGGAAGCGACAGCGUAUGUGCAUAUAAACACACACAAUGACAAUAGGGACGGGAACAGCACUCAAAUAACUACGAGCAAGUAAACUACACUGUCUUCGGGCUCCAGGUAGUGGUAGACUGGUACUUACUCGAGGUACUGUUCUUCUUUGGUCCCCCAUUUAACUGGACGCUUCGGAUGCUGGGAUACCACACCCCAAGCAAGGGCCAUGAAAUCUACUUGUAGUUAAGCACACGUGGGUCUGGCAUUUGAUACAUAAGAGCACUUUACUUUCAGCUUUCAGGUGCCUUCUUUAUGUCCUACUUACUGAUCGAUCCAACAUUUCCUUUUUCAGGUUUUAGGUUCUUGAUUUUGCCCCUUUGGGUGUUUAAAAAAUCCAAACUUACGGAUCCUCGGGCAAGGCUGGCUUGCUUGUAAAGUGUUUGUUUCCAACAUCGUUAGAGUCAGGAUUCGGUCCUUUUAACUCGAUAUUUUGUACCAGCUGAUUGCGUUUCUGGGGUACGAGUUCGACCUUCACCCUGGUUAAAAUUUUGAUGGAAUCUCAAAAGAGUUCAGAAACAUCCCCGAGUCUUGCCUUUCUUGCACUGUUUCUGGACACGGUCGUUCAACUCAUCCUACACUUAUCAGCAGUCUCGUUUGCAAAACCUAAAUGGCCCUUCGUCAUGAAUGAAUUUAAUGAGUCUAGAUAGUGAGAGGAAACAGCAGGUUUACAUGGUCAGGAUCUAUUGCAUUCUGCCUCUCCCCCGGCCCCUUUCCUUUUUGGACAAUUCUCAUUGCUCAUCUGUUUGAAAAGGAUGGAGAAAAAAAAAAGAGAGUACUUAUCUCUUUGGGUGAUAUUAUAACUGCAAUCGGAAACUAACAGGGAGGAAAAAAGAGAAAGAAUAAAAGGAUGCAAGGGGAAUCUAGAAGAACAAACGAUAGACAUAGGGUGAAAGCAUGAUUGAAAUGGAAAAACGAGAUGGAGUGACGCUACUUUUGUUUAGAGAAACCUCCACAUCAGAAAGAAAAGGACUAGCAGCCAACCAUUGUCUGCUUUUUUGAAAUCAAGUAUUAUUAUAUAUGCGUGCAAUCUAAAUUAUUGUAUCUUUAUAAUUCAAUCCAAAAUAGACCCACCACCAAUCACACUCCCAAACAAUCCUGCGAAUCCGGUUCUGAAAAUCAGAACGAGUAAUAAAUCUUCUCCAAUUAACAUCUUGUACGCAAUUAAUUGAUCUACCCCACACCUUGAUGCAAGAUGUUAUCCAAGACACUACUACUAUUUUCUGGUUGUUGGCAGCUGACUCUCAUUUCUUAUUGAGAAGCUAUAAUGCACUUUGCUCCCUAAAGUUUGCUCUGGUUUCAUUUCCGUCCCCUAAACUAUCACUAAUUGUGGCAAUUAAUCAUCAAUUAUUGGACCAUGCGAAAAUACAUGAACGGAUUCAUGAACGGAAAUCCUUGAGAUUUUCUAUUUAGGGCAAAAAGGAGGAGCAAUCCGGACAAAUAGUUUAGGUUGUUGCAGCAUAGACAGGUGGAACAAAAGUUUGACGGAAAAUACUUUAGGCUGCUGGAGCAAUGCUAUGCUGUUCGGUCCAUCUAUCUCCCCUGCCUGAUAGAGCCGUAACUCAUUAAUUAGCGGACAAUUGCACUGCUCAACUCAUAGAGCCAAUCUGAAUGCCAUUAACUACUAUGACCCUAGGGAACUAAUUACUAGAAUCUAAUUCUCGAAUACAUUUUACCGAGUUAUGUGCUGCCCAAAAAAAAAAAAAAUUGCAAGAAAAGAAAAUAUCAUGUUCUUUUUGCAAUAACGAACUUUGACUUAGACGAGGCGUAAUGUCACCUUAAUUGGCAAACUUUACCAACUUAAUUUUGUAAGUGAUGUAACGUCACCUUUUUAAAGGUAAAGGAUGUAAAAUUUUAUUUAGCGAAAUGUGAGGGACGUUUUGAACAUUUUUUUUUCUUAUUUGGAGUAUUAUUUGAAAUAUCAUUUAGGCUAUUAUUUGAAGUAGUUAUUAUAAAAUAAAAAAGACAGUUGGGAACAUAAACCAAAAAGAGUUAAAAGCGUGUUUCUGAUGUAAAUAAAAUAAAAUUUGAUAUAAUAAUUUCGUAUCCAGAAUACAUUUUGAUACAAAUUUUAGAUAAUUUGUGUCAAAAGAAAACUACACUAAGCUUUAUGCAGCUAGUAUAUAGUAUCUUACCUAGUGUAAGUCAGUUGCUCAAUCAUUUAUAAAAUAUAUAUAUAUAUAUAUUUACUUGUAUUACAAAUAUAGUUUUAAUCUCACAUACAUCACAUUACAAAAAGUAUUACCGUAAUAAUUUAAAUUCUUUUUUUCAAAUGAUCUUCUAUUCAAGCAACCUCGUUGAUGAGCUAUCGAGUUGAUUUUGUCGUAACUUUGUUUAGAUAAAGUUGGCAAAUUGUUUCAUUAUUCCUUGCAAUUUUGUGAUUUAAAAAAAAAAAAAAAAAAAAACUGCGUAGGUAUGCAUAUUUGUCGUUACUCGAGCAGCCAGGGCCUGUGGAGUACUCCAAUUGACAAGCGAGAAAUAAACAGGAAGAGUGCGUGUGAAUGAAGCUGCACCGAGUAGUCUUGUCUGUGGUUGAAAGCUGUGUGUUAUCGACGUAUGGUCUGUUCUGAAAGCAAUUUUGUAUGAAAAUCUGCACAAAAAAAAAAAAAAAAAAUCUUGAAAUAGAAUAAGAGUAUAUCUGCUCCAUCAAAGGAAUCACGUUAGUCCGGCGGCAGCAAAUAACCAUUUCUUGAUUUUAUACAUGGCUGGGGAUCUUCUUCUUCUGGUAGACGCGGGGACGAAUCCGAUCGAGGCUUCAGCACAGAAAUUGAAAAAACGUUGAAUGUCUCCUGGCAUCUUUUGCUUUCACAGCACAGUACUCGGCUAAAAAUGGCAUCCUACCGUAACAUUUCAUUGGCAGUUGGGAUUGGUGCAGAAAAGUCACGGCACGGUGAUUGGAUAGGAUCUGUGAAGAAAAUAAACGAAGCAAAAGGCAGAAAGAAAAAAAAAAAAGAACAUAGAACAGAAGGAUUGUACAAAAAAUUCCCUCCGCACUGGAAAGAAACAAAGAGACGACUGGUUAAAUUAAAGCCUUGUAAAAUCUCCCACAAACUGUAACUCUGC
rnacentral:lncRNA from 1 species